GGAGAGGCCAGCCCUCACUGCUCCCAACUUAAAAAUAAUAAAAAUAAAUCUUAAAAAGAGAGAAAAUUUACCCCCACUGGUGCUACAGUCAUAUUUCCAUGAAUUAUUAGCAAAGAAUAACUGCUGCCGUAUUGGCUUCUCCAUGCUGCUGUGCCUAGGCCGCGUCAUGUUCAUGUGCCACAUGUCCCCAUAGGCUCAUAAGCUUGAACGGUUGGCCCCGAAGUUUGCUGCUACAGCUUGCAUUUAGCCUUCAUUCUUUCUUUUGCACAGGAAGAGUAGAUCAAAUUAUUUAUGAUACAAGAAUCACUUUAGUCUCUUCUGUGUUCAAAUGUCAUCCAAAAACUUCACAAGCACUGCUUUGUCCUGAACAUUCUGUGAUUGAUAAUUCUGAGUGAGAACUUUAUCUAUACACAUUUGUAAAUCCGUUCCCAAUUUAUACUUAGUGAGUGUAACUUGUUUUUCUUUAACAAGUUUGUUUUACACAUUUUAUUUUAUUUGUGAGUGUGCCUGUUAAGUAUCUAUGCAUACCAUGUCAGAAGAGGGUAUUUGAACCCUGGGAACUGGAGCUGUGGAUGGUUAGGCACCAUCACCAUGUGCAUUCCUUGAGUCAAACCCAGGCCUCUGUAGGAGCAGUGAGGGCUCUUAACUCCUGAGCUUCCUUUAGCUUUAGCUUUAUUUCUUAUGUUUCUCUGUGUGUCUGUGACUAUAUGCUGAGUGUGUGCAUGUGCCUGUGGAGUCUAGAAAAGAAGCAUUGGAUCCUCUGGAGCUAGAGGACAGGCUGUUGUGAGCUGUCUGAUACGGUGCUAAGACCUGCUAAGACCCGACAUUGGUUCCUCUGGGAAGAGCAGGAUGUGCUCUUAACCAUCUUUCCAGGCCCCUUUGUUUUUGGCUAUUUUUUGUUUUUUUUGCACCUUGGUUUGAAUUCUGCAGUGCUACUACUUUAGAGCUACUUAGACAGAUGAUCUUUGGUUGCUCACAUUUGAACUUUUGCUGUCUGUGGAGUGGGAUUGCAUUUGAAUAGAAGGGCCAAAGCCUGUGAGAGCCAGGAAGCAGCCCAUUGUUGUCUUCCUCUGUUGCCGGUUUCUUGAACGAAUGGCUAUGAAGAAGGCCUGUUCCUCUUUGAGAUACAGGCUUUUCUACAGCCCUUGACCUUACCAUUCUAUGCCAUGGGCUGUUUGGGUAGAAUCAAAGAUUUUAUAAAUUUUUGUCAUCAAUAGUAACAUUCAUGAAGUAAACACAUUCUGAUGUACCUAAAACCUCAGAAGCAUGGCUAGACACCACCAUCAGGUUUGGUGUGACUUUGCUAACUUACUAAAUGUUUUUUUUUUUUUUUUGUUUGUUUUUUGGGUUUUUUGGUUUUAUUGAGACAGGGUUUCUAGAUCAGGCUAGCCUCGAACUCAAAAAUCCACCUGCCUCUGCCUCCCAAGUGCUGGGAUUAAAGGCGUGCGCCACCACUGCCCCUUACUAAAUGUUUUAUCCACCAGUUUCAUUUUAGUUGAGCAUUGCUCUGAUAUUGUGAAAGUUCUGGGAAUUUGAGUAUUAACAUAUAUCAGAAAUUAUUCUAAAUUCAAUUAAAUAUUUGAAUGGUUUAUUUUAGUUUCUGUAAUAGCGUAAUUUAUAGAAAUACAGCAGACUAUGCUGAGAAUGAAGGUAAUGGGCUUAUUAACCUGGUGCAGAGUUGUUCCCACCCCAGGACAGAAUGAAAUGAGCUGUCUCACAGCAAACUCUGUAUCUUCUGGUUUUGUGCUACAUUUCCUAUAAGUUGUAGAAUGGCAGCAGUCACAGUGGAGAGAAGUGGAACUCUUUCUCUUCCUUCUCUUUCUCUGCCUCUUUUUCUUUCUUUGUAGUGGCCAACUAUAAAUAAAUCUACUUUUUCUUUACUACUCUGUGUUAUAAUUUCUUUUGAAAUCCAGUGAAACUAAAGUUGAGGUUCUGAUAAUACAUCCAUUACUUUAAACACCAGUCCAGGAGUGACUUGGGUCAAAUGGCAGAGCCAGCAAGCCCCAAACAGAUUUUUCCACAGAAACAAAACAAGAAACUGUUAUAGUUACUGGUUGUCAGAACCUUUUCAUCACUGCAGCUAAAACAUCAUCUGUCGUGUACACCAUUUGAAUACUUCCUGUUCUAGGGCCAACAGUCAUUCUCUUGUAUGAAUAGACCACUUUAUCUACUUACUAACUAGUGAGUUAUUUCAUUUGUUUUUACAUAAUAUAGUAUCAAGAUACUUUAAGCAAAACUGAUAAAAAUCAGUGAAUCAGCAGUAAUAGAGACCAUAGUUUGCUGCAUGUAAUGGAGAAAAGCCACCAGAUAGAAAAAAUAGGGAAGAAAACAUGACUACCACAAGCACUACUACACACAAGCACUCACUCACAACAUGGGCACAUUUCCCAGGGCUACACAGAGAAACCCUGUCUCAACCCUCCCCCCCCCCCCC
rnacentral:lncRNA from 1 species